UACGUAGGGGGCAAGCGUUGUCCGGAAUCAUUGGGCGUAAAGAGCGCGUAGGCGGCCCGGCAAGUCCGCUGUGAAAGUCCAGGGCUCAACCCUGGGAUGCCGGUGGAUACUGUCGGGCUCGAGUCCGGAAGAGGAGUGUGGAAUUCCUGGUGUAGCGGUGAAAUGCGCAGAUAUCAGGAGGAACACCAAUGGCGAAGGCAGCACUCUGGGACGUGACUGACGCUGAGACGCGAAAGCGUGGGGAGCAAACAGG
rnacentral:rRNA from 1 species